rnacentral:rRNA from 2 species
UACGUAGGGGGCGAGCGUUGUCCGGAGUUACUGGGCGUAAAGGGCACGCAGGCGGUGCUGCGCGUUUCGCGUGACAGCGGGUGGCUUAACUACCCGAGGGUGCGAAAGACGGCAGGACUUGAGGGCCAGAGAGGGACACGGAAUUCCGGGUGGAGUGGUGAAAUGCGUAGAGAUCCGGAGGAACACCGAAGGCGAAGGCAGUGUCCUGGCUGGUGACUGACGCUGAGGUGCGAAAGCCAGGGGAGCGAACGGG